ensembl:lncRNA
AGGGCAUAAAGCAUGUGGUUCAUCUUCUGGCCCUGUAGUAUCUUUGCUGAGAGAGGGGAGGGGCAGUGUGUGGGGUCAGGACAGAGCUUGUGGCCUGAAGAACUGUCUCCUUUGUGUGUGUGUGCAGGGGCAAACUGUUGGAGGUUGGGGUGCCUGAGCCCAGUGUGCUUGAAAGGGGCUUAGAGGAAAAUGCUAGAGAUCAGCCUGGGAAGUGGAAGCCUAAGCGUGGCUGGGCUGGAGAUCUAUAGAGGGAACCGGCUUCUGGGCCUUACCUAGGGAUAGUAGAUCCAGAGUUGCCCUUGUGUCCUGCCAGAAUCAUCUCCAAGAACCUCAGGAAUAAUGCUGCCUUGGGUUAAAUCCUUACAUCCAUGGGUGCCUGUAAAAUAUUACUUUGUGACCAGGAUGGAACAAACAAGUCUGGACAUGACCCAGGCAGGUCUGAGGUGGGGUUUCAGACAGGAAAGUGGUAGUAAGACAUCCUUCUGGACUGUGGCUGGGAUGAGUGCCUAGAGAAGUUACAGGAGAGAAGCUCCUAGACACAGGCAUAUUUGAUCUGCUCUCAAGGUCCCCCUGAUACUUGAGCAGAGCCAGCCCAGUUCCACUUACCCUCACACACCCAGGUAUCUGGGGUCACCUGCAUCUAGAUGCUGAGUCAUUCCACAGGGAGUGCCGUUCCUCUUUCCAGAAGCCUAUGUGGGAGGCAGAGGGGCUAGGUGUUGAAACAGAGGUCCCAAACCAGACAGGCCUGCUUUCUGGGAAGAUGAUGUUGCUGUCUGAAGCAACCUCUCAUUCUCUGACUCAGGAUGGCUUCACUUUGGCACUCAUCCCCUAGACGCUGUCAGAGUGACCACAGAAGGGUCCAAAGAUUGUAUCAUUUACCUUGUGGGUUCCUUAGAGGUUGCCUUUAUUUACAUGCUGAUGUUCACCGCAGUCACUGCUUUAGUGGGGAAUAUUGUGAAGAGUUCGGGUGAGAAAAGUCCUGUGAUACCUGGAGGACAACUGACUCCAGCUCCAAAACCAUGACUCUUUUCCCUUUGUUCAUCCCCUUGAGAUGAAAGGAAGACCAGAAUGGUUUUCCUGAGAGCCUCCCUGGCUCUGCUGAAUGCCUUUCUUGACCACUCCACCAUCGGGUCACCCCAGGCACAGAGAGGAAGGGUAAGAAGUGGGCAAGUUUGUGGUUAAUUCUUCUUUGAAGACAGCCCAAGGAGGAGAAGGACAUGCUGGAUGUGGUGGAAAACAACAUGAAAGAGGAUUAUUAGGAGGAUUCGCUAGUGGGGGGCUUUUGGGGUUAUAUUUCAGGAGGAGGGGCCUCCAUGGUAGGCAGUAUAGUUUGGAGGGUGGCCUCACUGUUGGUGCCAUGGUGGGUGUUUGGGUGCAUUCAAAGGCUGGCUCAGUGGACACCAGUUGGUUGUCUACCAUCAUCUGUGGGAAGCAUUUUUGAUGCUUUUCUAGGCAGGCUCUUGUAUGACAGCUGUAGAUUCUGGGAGCUCCCCUACACUCUUGGUUAAAGGCUCCGGGCUUUCCAUAACUUCCAAAGGUUCUUCCUUUUGGAGGCUUAUACUCGGAGUCUCUGUGGGACAGAAAAGACAGAAACAUAGAUUCCUCCAAAGUCGCUUCUCUAAUCUUUGCUUUCAUGUGGUAAAACUCUCAUUUAAAAAAUGUCAGCCCCUGUACUUGGAUCAGACAAAAUGGUGGAGCAGAAGGACUCAAGCUCACUUUUCACAAAUCACCAAAAAUCACAAUUAGCUGCUGAACGACCACUGACAAAACAGAAGUUACCAAAAAAGAUAUCCUACACCCAAAGAUAAAGAGGAAGCCCCAAUGAGAUGGAAGGAGGGGCUCGUUCAUGAUAAGAGCAAUUCUACACCUGCCAGAUGAGCAAUUGACAAACCAGAAAAUAACUAUAUUGCAGAGGUUCUCCUACAGGUGUGAGAGUUCUGAACCCCAUGGUCAGGUUCCCCAACCUGGGGGUCUGACACUGCUAAGAGGAGCCUCCAUAGCAUUUGGCAUUGAAGGGCAGCAAAGGAGCUCCACAGGACUGGGGGAAACAGAGACUCUACUCUUGGAGUGCACACACAAGGUUUCAUGCACACUAGGUCCCAGGGCAAAGAAGAAACUCCUUAAGAGUCAGGGACAGAGCUACCUAUGGGUCUUGGAGGGUCUGCUAGGGAGGCAGGAGUCAGCUAUGUCUCAUUGUGGGGGCAGGACACUGUAGGCAGAGGUCUCAGGGAAUAUUUAUAGGCAUGCAUUCUCCUGGAGGCUGCCAUUUUGGAAAAACCUGGCCCCACCCAACAGCAUGUCAGCACCAGUGCUGAUAAGCCCCAGGCCAAACAACAAAUGGUGGGAACAUAGCCCCACCCAUCAGCAGACGGGCUGCUUAAAGUCCUUCUGGGGACACAUCCACCUAAUGACAUGGCCCUGCCUACCAGAGGGACAAGACUCAGUCCCACCAACCAGUGGGCAGGCACUAACUAGUCCCUCCCAUCAGGAAGUCUGCUACAAGUCCCUGUAUCAGCUUCACUCACUGGGGGGCAUACACCAGAAACAAAAGAGGCUACAACCCUGCAGCCUGCAGAAAGGAGAAAACACACACAGAUAGCUAGACAACAUAAAAUGGCAAAUAUGCUCCAGAUGAAGAAACAAGACAAAACCCCAGAAGAACAACUAAGUGGAGAUAUGCAACCUACAUGAAAAAGACUUUAGAAUUAUGAUAGUAAGGAUGAUCCAAGACCUUGGAAAAAAAUCCAGAGGCAAAAAUCGAGAAAUGAUAAGAAACAUUUAACAACAACAACAACAAAGAUUUAAAGAACAGAGAUGAACAACAGAACAAAAGCGAUGAAAAACAGAAUAACUGAAAUGGAAAAUACACUAGAAGAAAUCAAUAGCAGAAUCCAUGAGGCAGAAGAACAAAUAAGCAAAGUGGAAGACAGACUGGUGGAAAUUACUGGUGUGGAAUAGAAUAAAGAAAAAAAAA